GGUGGUAGAUGGGAAGCUCCUUACUGAACACUGGAGAAAGGUCAAGGUAUUCUUUCGGAACCUGGGAGAAUCAAUUGGUGUUGCAGGUGGCUGAGGUUUGCUGGCUGGUGGAACGGCCGCGAGAAGACAUUGGGAGUGGCAGAAAGGACUCCACCCAUAGACAGGUGGGUCCAAUCGAUGGCGGGGUUGUGUCUUUUGAGCCAGGGGAUUCUGAGGACUAAUGGGAUCCCAGGGGAAGGAAUAACAAAUACUUGGAGGGUUUCCCGGUGACUUCCUGAGAUGAGUAGUGUGAACGGUGCCAUUUGUUGAGUGACAGGGGAGAUGACUCGCCCGUCCAGGGCAGUAACUUUCUAGGGACCCGGAGGGGUUCGAGGGGUAGCCGGAGUUGAUACGCCAAGCCCUCAUGAAUAAACUUGUUAUCAGCGCUGGAGUCAAUGAGGGCGGUGACCGGAGUAUUACAAUCUGGGCCAAGGAUAAAUGAGGAAACGGUCAUUCGGGAGGGAGAGCUAGGAGAAGUGUUGGUAUGGCUCACCACGGCGCUCUCGGUUUGUGGGGAGCCUUGUCUUUUGGUUUUAAUGAGCAUAUGGUGAUGAAAUGGCCUGGCUGUCCACAAUAGAUGCAUAAACAUCGACUGAAGCGGCGGUGCCGUUCCAGAGGGUCUAACCUGGUCUUGCCAAGUUGCAUGGGCUCCUCCAAUCCAUUGGCCUCAUGAAACAGGUCUGCGGAUUAUGCAGUCAAUAUGGGACUGUACUUCAUCCUAGAACACCUCGACAGUGCAGGGACCUACGCGAGGAUCCUGUUCGUGGACUUCAGCUCAACGUUCAACAUCAUCAUCCCUGAACUCCUUUCAUCCAAGCUUCUCCAGCUCAGCGUCUCACCUGCCAUCUGCCAGUGGAUUUAUAGCUUCCUGACGGGCAGGACACAGCAGGUGAGGCUGGGGGAGGCCACCUCAUCCACACAUAGCAUCAGCACUGUGACGCCCAAAGGUUAUGUCCUCUCUCCGCUGCUCUUCUCUCUCUACACGAACGACUGCACCUCAGCGCACCCGGCUGUCAAACUCCUUUGCAGAUGACACCACUGUCAUCGGCCUCAUCAAGGACGGUGACGAGUCUGCAUAUCGACAGGAAGUGGCGCGGCUGGAGCUGUGGUGCGGCCGACACAACCUGGAGCUGAACACGCUCAAGACUGUAGAGAUCAUCAUGGACUUCAGGAGGCAUCCCUCACCACAGCUGCCCCUCACGUUGUCCAGCUGCCUUGUGUCAACCGUUGAGACCUUCAAGUUCCUGGGAAUUACAGUCUCUCAGUGACUGAGGGGGCGACCAACAUCAACUCCGUCCUCAAAAAGGCCCAGCAGAGGAUGUACUUCCUGCGGCUUCUGAGAAAGCACGGCUUGCCACGGGAGCUGCUGAGGCAGUUCUACACGGCGGUCAUCGGAUCAGUCCUGUGUUCUUCCAUCACAGUCUGGUUUGGUGCUGCUACAAAAAAGGACAAACUCUGACUGCAACGGACAAUCAAAACUGCUGAAAGGAUUGUCGGUACCCCCCUACCCACCCUUGAGGACUUGCACGCUGCCAGAACUAAGACAAGACCGUGCAAAAUCCUCUCGGACCCUCGACAUCCCAGUCACCGGCUCUUCCAGCUCCUUCCCUGAGGUGGCGGUAAUGCACCCGCACGGUGGUUGCAACCACCGUUCAAUUCAAUCCAAACAAGACGAGGAGGCAGAAGAGUGUUGUGGUUUGCGGCUCUGUUCGGAAAGAACACUUUUCUGAACACAAAAUGACUGUGAGCAGUCUAUUUGCUCGAUCCUAUCCUGUCCACAGAGCUCUUCAAGCAGCACAGCACAGAUGUUCUUGAGGAAAAACUAAGGAAUGACAUAGAAUAACCCAGCUCUAUGGUGGUCACCAUGGACUUCAGGAUGCACCUGUUUUUUUGUCACACUGAAUUCUGCAAUUAAUAAAUAUCGUGCAAAAUAAA